CUCAUCGGUAUACUGGCAUUGAUGAUUUUUGCGAUCGAUGUUACUGAAGCUCAAUGCGUGAUUACGAUCAAUGGAACGGAUUUCACGCCCAGUUUGACUCCUGUUUAUAUUUCCUAUUAUGGCAAUGAAUUCCCAAUGACAGAUCUCGUUAAUAUGGAUGUCAGUACUUGCAAAUUUCAGAUAUCUAUGUAUAUCUAUACCCCAGAAACACAGAUAA